CCACAUCCCAGGAGGCUGAGGCGGCUUGCCCAGCAUCUCAGAAACCGGGCAGUCCCUGAGCCUUCUGACCUCACAUCCUCUGCCACACCACAGUGGAGAAACCAGAACUGGAGGAGCAGCCAGAAUGCAGAGAAGAAAAGAGAGGCUGUCUGCAUGUUUGGAAGUCUGAAUUGGUUGAAGUUGAAGAGGAUGUGUAUCUGAGGCACAGCUCUUCCCUGACUCAUGUGCCUUGACACUGCUGUUGAGGUUUGACUCGAAUCCCAGAGUUUUGGUGUGGAUGAGCAGGGACAAAUUGCUGAGCAUCAAGAAGAGUAAAAUUAAGCAAGUGGAACAUAUGCCUCUGCUCUGCACAGUGAAAUGAAGAGUCAGCUGUUGAA